rnacentral:rRNA from 1 species
GACGAACGCUGGCGGCGUGCUUAACACAUGCAAGUCGAACGGAAAGGCCCUGCUUUUGUGGGGUGCUCGAGUGGCGAACGGGUGAGUAACACGUGAGUAACCUGCCCUUGACUUUGGGAUAACUUCAGGAAACUGGGGCUAAUACCGGAUAGGAGCUCCUGCUGCAUGGUGGGGGUUGGAAAGUUUCGGCGGUUGGGGAUGGACUCGCGGCUUAUCAGCUUGUUGGUGGGGUAGUGGCUUACCAAGGCUUUGACGGGUAGCCGGCCUGAGAGGGUGACCGGCCACAUUGGGACUGAGAUACGGCCCAGACUCCUACGGGAGGCAGCAGUGGGGAAUAUUGCACAAUGGGCGGAAGCCUGAUGCAGCAACGCCGCGUGCGGGAUGACGGCCUUCGGGUUGUAAACCGCUUUCGCCUGUGACGAAGCGUGAGUGACGGUAAUGGGUAAAGAAGCACCGGCUAACUACGUGCCAGCAGCCGCGGUGAUACGUAGGGUGCGAGCGUUGUCCGGAUUUAUUGGGCGUAAAGGGCUCGUAGGUGGUUGAUCGCGUCGGAAGUGUAAUCUUGGGGCUUAACCCUGAGCGUGCUUUCGAUACGGGUUGACUUGAGGAAGGUAGGGGAGAAUGGAAUUCCUGGUGGAGCGGUGGAAUGCGCAGAUAUCAGGAGGAACACCAGUGGCGAAGGCGGUUCUCUGGGCCUUUCCUGACGCUGAGGAGCGAAAGCGUGGGGAGCGAACAGGCUUAGAUACCCUGGUAGUCCACGCUGUAAACGGUGGGUACUAGGUGUGGGGUCCAUUCCACGGGUUCCGUGCCGUAGCUAACGCUUUAAGUACCCCGUCUGGGGAGUACGGCCGCAAGGCUAAAACUCAAAGGAAUUGACGGGGCCCCGCACAAGCGGCGGAGCAUGCGGAUUAAUUCGAUGCAACGCGUAGAACCUUACCUGGGUUUGACAUGGAUCGGGAGUGCUCAGAGAUGGGUGUGCCUCUUUUGGGGUCGGUUCACAGGUGGUGCAUGGCUGUCGUCAGCUCGUGUCGUGAGAUGUUGGGUUAAGUCCCGCAACGAGCGCAACCCUUGUUCACUGUUGCCAGCACGUUAUGGUGGGGACUCAGUGGAGACCGCCGGGGUCAACUCGGAGGAAGGUGGGGAUGACGUCAAGUCAUCAUGCCCCUUAUGUCCAGGGCUUCACGCAUGCUACAAUGGCUGGUACAGAGAGUGGCGAGCCUGUGAGGGUGAGCGAAUACUCGGAAAGCCGGUCUCAGUUCGGACUGGGGUCUGCAACUCGACCUCAUGAAGUCGGAGUCGUUAGUAAUCGCAAAUCAGCACACGCUGCGGUGAAUACGUUCC